CUUAUACCCCUUUGAAUCUGGCACUGCUCCGAGAUUGAAGUGGCAUGCAACAAUAUUUAGACUCCUCUCAGCUGACUCUGUCCCCAAGUACCUGGAACUUCCAGCCAAACAGGGUCUGUGGUCACAAAGAGCAAUGAAGAUCCACGGACCUGAUUCUGGCCCUGCUGAAUCGAUUCUCAGUGCAUUCCUCUCUCCCUGCAUUCACAGGACCUCUCACCAAGGACUUCUACUGCACACAAUCACACACAAUAAUACUGGUGGUCACACAACAUUUUGCCCUCACAAUGCUGCCGUUCCCAACAUCCCUAAGAGUCUACAGUGCCCAGAGUCCUAUGAAGGGGAAAAGAUGCUUCAGAUGUGUUUUAAAGAAGUCGUCUGUAUGUAGGUAAUGCGCCACAGAUGAUGCUACUGAAGCCUGAAGGAGUCAAGAGAACACCCUGAACUCCAUUAAAAGGAACACAGAGAACAUCAUCCAAGGUGAAGCUGAGCCCAAAUUAAGCAAAGCAGCUUCCCAAGCCAAGGUGUAACCUGACCUGCAAGAUACCUUUCGGAACAUAGUAUGUGGAGGUUGAAUAUUGUCCUGGUCUUCUGGUCACAUCUUAGGAAUGCUUGUCCCUUCAACCUGUCAAUUUUAGAUAUUCCAGUUUCUCACUGUUUCCAAAUGUGAAUUCAGCUCCCUUCGUG